rnacentral:rRNA from 1 species
GAUGAACGCUGGCGGCGUGCUUAACACAUGCAAGUCGAACGGAAAGGCCCAAGCUUGCUUGGGUACUCGAGUGGCGAACGGGUGAGUAACACGUGGGUGAUCUGCCCUGCACUUCGGGAUAAGCCUGGGAAACUGGGUCUAAUACCGGAUAGGACCACAUUUUGGAUGGUGUGGUGGAAAGUUUUUCGGUGUGGGAUGAGCUCGCGGCCUAUCAGCUUGUUGGUGGGGUAAUGGCCUACCAAGGCGUCGACGGGUAGCCGGCCUGAGAGGGUGUACGGCCACAUUGGGACUGAGAUACGGCCCAGACUCCUACGGGAGGCAGCAGUGGGGAAUAUUGCACAAUGGGCGCAAGCCUGAUGCAGCGACGCCGCGUGGGGGAUGACGGCCUUCGGGUUGUAAACUCCUUUCGCUAGGGACGAAGCGCAAGUGACGGUACCUGGAGAAGAGGCACCGGCUAACUACGUG